UGUUUGUCCAAACAAACUGAUCAAACAGAACUUGUUGAUAGUUUAAAUAUCAUUGAUUGUUUAAACAAAGAUGUUUUUGAUAUAAAAGAUGAUAUACUAAAUGAUGAUCCUUGCAGGGAAGAGAGCCAAAAAGAGCCAGAACUGAAAGAAACUAACUGUUACAUCCAACAGGUGGACUGCGAACACGCACAGAACAAAGGAGAGCCAAUCACACCUCUUCAGAUCAAUCUUGCGCAGUCAGAAGGAACUCCAACUGAACCACCUCAGCUUGGACUGCAGAUCAAUCUUGCACAAGAAGGAGUACCUGCAAUCAUCUCAGGCGCGUCCUUUCAGCUUCCAACACAAAUCAGUCUUCCACCUCAGUUAGGUCCUAUGAAGAAGGAGGAAACUGAAACUCCUUUCAUCCUUCCAAUGCAAACAGUCCAUGCCCAGGAG
rnacentral:lncRNA from 1 species